GCAUUCUACUUUUGGAGACUCUUGGAACCACAAGUAGCCAAGUGCUGAAAGGUGUUGGAGGGGCUACAUGCUGAACAGAAUAGGCCUACCUGAUCUGGAAUGUGACAGAAGAGGCUAUAGCCUCUAGUUUGCCAGGCGUCGAGGAAGUGGUGGUCCGACCACAGUAGAGACAUUCUGCAGCCUGAAUCCUCAGGAGCCACUCAGCUGUUGAAAGAUGGGCUCGUUCAAGUUGUAUGGGUUCCGAGGAGGAGGAUUAUUGACUAGCUCUCUUCCUGCGCCGUUCACGUAAGUGGUUAUCUAGCUUAAUGGCUAAGGAAAUUAGCGCAUCCAAACUGGGAGGAUCAUCCUGAACUGCUAGCUCAUUCUUAAUCUGAUCAUUAAGACCUCUAACAAAACCCCCUGUAAAGCCUCACUGUUCCACCCUGAAUCAGCAGCUAUGGUCCUAAAUUCAACUGAAUACUCAGCUACACUGCAUAUUCCCUGUCGGAGUGUGAUCAAAAACCUUCUUCAUUUCAGAUACAAAAUCCCCAUAUGACCAGCUAGAGCUAACCUGGCUCUCCCUUACCAACCAACUGGUUGAGGCAGAUAGCAGCCCACCCUGAGUCUGGUUGUGCUCGAGGUUUCUGCCUCUUAAAAGGAAGUUUUUCCUUGCCACUGUCGCCAAGUGCCUGCUCAUGGUGGGAAUUAUUGGGUCUCUCUGUUGUAAAUACUGAGACUAUGGUCUAGACCUGCUCUGGCUCUGAUGGUAAGAGGCUGCUCCCAUAUAGUAGCUGGGAACGGUGAUCUGUGUGAGUACACAAGACCCUCAGAAAGAGGAGAAAUCACGGGGAGUAAUGUUCCCAUCAGCUGGUACAGGAACUUCGCCUGGAUGAUGGUCGGUUCAAAGCUUAUUUUAGGAUAAGUCUGGGACAGUUUGACAAUCAGCACUGUCAGUUGUUAGCAUCACAAGAACUAUCGCUAACUACAGGGAGUCUGUUGGUCCUGUCGAGCAGCUGAGCAUUUGUUUGUGGUAGGCUAUGUCUGUUUUAAUGUCAAUUCAAUAUUUUGGGUUAAGUGAGUAGCCUACUGCCCCGACAGCCUAAAACUGACAACUGUAGAUGUGAUACUUGUUACUUUAUUACUAAGCAUUACAAUGAUAAUGAUGAAAGUGAGCUAACGUUAGCUUAACACUAGAAUGGCCACGAUGGUCAUUAUGACCGUUUUGAAAUUUAUAUGUGCAACUUCAACUUUGUUGAAUAAAAAAAUACAAUCCUGCUGUUACCUGACUUUUCCUAAAAGUGAAAGUUUCCUAAAAGAAAAUAAGAAAUAAGACAUUUUUACCUAUUUCGGCCAUACAUGGUCAUAUUGACCACACUGAAUUUUGCGCAGUUUAUGAUACAUCUUGGUUGCUAAGCAGCUGUCAUUGUCUCUGUCGAAGAAACAUUGCUAGUGGUCUCGAGUGCUAUUAGCAUAUGCUAAUUUGCUUACAAAUUAUUAGACUAAAUUGGCUAUCAGUACAAUAAUUUAAGAAAUUGAGUAAUUGCUUAGGUUUGAGUUUAUAUGGAGCCUUUAGAAAAUGUAUGAAAUGAAUCAGAAUCAGAAAUACUUUAUUGAUCCCCGAGGAGAAACUCUUGUUAUAGCAGCUCACUAUCACGUCAGUGCACACAGGAAUAGAAGUACUAAGCAAAAAAUAUAAUACACUAUAAUACAGGUCAGAAAAUAAAUUAAGUACCAAGUGGGUAUAAGUAUAAAAUUAAAAUAAUGAAAGAGAUGAUGAUAGUGGGGUCAUGCUGGAGAUGUAACAGAUCUGCAGGGAUGUCCUCUGAAUGAAAGAAUGAAGAGAAAGAUGAAUGAAAGAUGAAUGACUGAAAAAUGAAUGAAAGAAAAAUGAAUGAAAGAAUGAAGAGAAAGAUGACUGCUGUCAUGGCCUUGGAGAUGCUUCAGAACUUGGACAGCAAUGACUCUGAUGCAGGCGAUCUAUCGGAGGUGGAAAGUGACAGUGACCGUUCCUGGGUGCAAGAAAACACUUCAUCCUCAUCAGAGAGUGAUUCAGAGUUCAUAUCAUGGAAAAGUUCUAGUAGUUAUGGAAUUCUGGUACUUCUAGUGUCAACACAAACCAUGAACUGUACGCUAGUUACCACUUAUUAGUACAGUUUAAAUGAAUGAAAACAACUUACCCAAAAUCUCAAGUACCACACUAUUUUACAUCCAGAAUGCUGUUGUCUGUUCAAACGUAUAAUAUUGUUAGGGGGAGUUAUGUGCUGGUACUAUUUCUUGAUAAGCAACAAGUUUCAAACAACAAAUAUAAUCCCCAAGUCUUGUCAUCACAGUGAGGUUGUCAGGUUUUGUAUCACUGUGCCUAUACAGCAACCAAUACCAAAACCUGUGCUUACUGACCAUAUUUGCAACCUGCGCUAUACCUGAGACAAUGCAAAGAAGUGCUGGGCAGGAUUGUUGUUCAUCAAGAAAUAGCAUGUAGUUCCUUCUAAAUCCAUAAACUGAUAUUUUUACAUUUCUGUUUGUUCACAGAUUAACAAAUGAGAAACAGCAUGUGAAACAGCAUGCUAAACGGCGAGCGUUAGAGGUGUUGGUAGGUGUGUUUUCAAACUUUGGACAGAGCCAGGCUAGCUGUUUCCCCCUUCUUCCCCUAAUUAUGAUAAGCUAUGCUAACCUCAUCCUUACCCCAAACACACAGACAUAAGAUUGAGAUCCAUCUGAUCAUCUCACCCUACUAAAAAAAAGUGAAGAGGCACAUUUCCUAAAAUUGGCUAUACUAUACCAGCACUACCAUUUCACUAUUUACUUUGAUUCUUAUUAGCAGGAUUGGACUGAACUGCGUUGGGGUUGUGGGAAGAAAUGAACAGACUUUUACAGAGUAGUGUGAACGCUGAGACUGUGGGACACCCACCCACACCCACCCACACA